AGACCCGAAACCCGGUGAUCUAGCCAUGGGCAGGUUGAAGGUUGGGUAACACUAACUGGAGGACCGAACCGACUAAUGUUGAAAAAUUAGCGGAUGACCUGUGGCUGGGGGUGAAAGGCCAAUCAAACCGGGAGAUAGCUGGUUCUCCCCGAAAGCUAUUUAGGUAGCGCCUCGUGAAUUCAUCUCCGGGGGUAGAGCACUGUUUCGGCUAGGGGGCCAUCCCGGCUUACCAACCCGAUGCAAACUGCGAAUACCGGAGAAUGUUAUCACGGGAGACACACGGCGGGUGCUAACGUCCGUCGUGAAGAGGGAAACAACCCAGACCGCCAGCUAAGGUCCCAAAGUCAUGGUUAAGUGGGAAACGAUGUGGGAAGGCCCAGACAGCCAGGAUGUUGGCUUAGAAGCAGCCAUCAUUUAAAGAAAGCGUAAUAGCUCACUGGUCGAGUCGGCCUGCGCGGAAGAUGUAACGGGGCUAAACCAUGCACCGAAGCUGCGGCAGCGACGCUUAUGCGUUGUUGGGUAGGGGAGCGUUCUGUAAGCCUGCGAAGGUGGCCUGUGAGGGUUGCUGGAGGUAUCAGAAGUGCGAAUGCUGACAUAAGUAACGAUAAAGCGGGUGAAAAGCCCGCUCGCCGGAAGACCAAGGGUUCCUGUCCAACGUUAAUCGGGGCAGGGUGAGUCGACCCCUAAGGCGAGGCCGAAAGGCGUAGUCGAUGGGAAACGGGUUAAUAUUCCCGUACUUGGUGUUACUGCGAAGGGGGGACGGAGAAGGCUAUGUUGGCCGGGCGACGGUUGUCCCGGUUUAAGCGUGUAGGUGUGUGUUCCAGGUAAAUCCGGUUCACUUUAACACUGAGGCGUGACGACGAGGCACUACGGUGCUGAAGCAACAAAUGCCCUGCUUCCAGGAAAAGCCUCUAAGCAUCAGGUAACAUCAAAUCGUACCCCAAACCGACACAGGUGGUCAGGUAGAGAAUACCAAGGCGCUUGAGAGAACUCGGGUGAAGGAACUAGGCAAAAUGGUGCCGUAACUUCGGGAGAAGGCACGCUGACACGUAGGUGAAGUGAUUUACUCAUGGAGCUGAAGUCAGUCGAAGAUACCAGCUGGCUGCAACUGUUUAUUAAAAACACAGCACUGUGCAAACACGAAAGUGGACGUAUACGGUGUGACGCCUGCCCGGUGCCGGAAGGUUAAUUGAUGGGGUCAGCGCAAGCGAAGCUCCUGAUCGAAGCCCCGGUAAACGGCGGCCGUAACUAUAACGGUCCUAAGGUAGCGAAAUUCCUUGUCGGGUAAGUUCCGACCUGCACGAAUGGCGUAAUGAUGGCCAGGCUGUCUCCACCCGAGACUCAGUGAAAUUGAACUCGCUGUGAAGAUGCAGUGUACCCGCGGCAAGACGGAAAGACCCCGUGAACCUUUACUAUAGCUUGACACUGAACAUUGAGCCUUGAUGUGUAGGAUAGGUGGGAGGCUUUGAAGUGUGGA
rnacentral:rRNA from 1 species